rnacentral:lncRNA from 1 species
GUUACAUAGAGUCUUGAUUACAUAUACUUCUUAAGUGUUUACUUUUAAAUUAACUUUGAUUACAUAAUUGAUAUUAUCUCUCUGCAGAUUUGAUGAGUUUUUAUAUUUAAUAUUUUUACUUUAUGUAGGUUAUAAAAAAAUUAGUGACAAAAGAGAGAGAUAUUAAAAGGAGGAGACUUGCUAAGCAUUCCUUACAAGAGUUAAGAGGGGAGGAGGAGAGGCAGGAGUUGAGAGGGGAGAAGGAGUGGAAGAGAGAGAAGUGGAGGAGAGAGGUGAGGGCAGUAAGGAGGGAAGCGAGAGAAGUGAUAAAAGUACUCUAAUUAAUUAUCGCUAUUAUAUUACGUCAUAUCACCUGUUCAUGUUGAAAAUUAAAGAAAAUGAGGCA